GCCUAGUUAGCUAAUAAGUUGGUAGUGCGUCUGCCUUGUAAGCGUUAGGCCGCGGGUUCGAUUCCCGCCCGGGGCG
rnacentral:tRNA from 1 species